rnacentral:misc_RNA from 1 species
CUUCAGUGAUACCCUUUUUCUCUCCCGGGUACGGUUUCCUGUAUCUCUUUCUCUUUUUAAUAACCGGAGGACCCAAGUUCGUCGUCGUUGUAGUUGAAAAUGAAGAAUUGGAAUUGGAGCAACAUAUGAUUCCUCUUGUGAGCUUGGCGGGGUAACUCUUAUUUUCGGUUGGUAUCAUGAGCUUCAAUUGGUAUGACGUGAAUAAUGAGUUUGAUAGUGCAGGACACAGAGCCAUUGGAAAGGGUUUCUGCUUAGCGGUAGUCUGCAACUGCA